ensembl:lncRNA
AUGGGGAGGGGAGGGGGUGGAUGUGAAAGGAGAAUUAAUUGCACUCCCCCUCUGCACAUCUUAACUAAACUCUGUUGGUUUGUGUGUUCCAGUAAUGAAUCAAAUGGCCACACAGUCUCGGCAAAUACAUCUCUUUUAUCCUCGCUUAUGAAUAAGAUGUCCCAGAGCAAUCCCAACCUGGGGAACCUCCUUGCCUUGAAGGUGGAGGCCGGAUGGCAGCCAGGCUGGAGGAGACACGACGCAAUACCUGGGCAAGAGCGUGAAGGCUCUCGUUCAAGAGAAGCUCUCUGAGCCCUGGAAGAUGUACCUGCGCAGGUGAGGCUCAAGAGGGAACUUGGCUGGGUCGAGAGAGGGUGGCUUCCAUGCCACAUAGAUGGCUGAACAAGCCCACCCAUGCCCCGGCCACUUACAGAUGCCAAUUCGCUCCUAACUGUUGCAUUACUAUCCAUAAAAAUAUCAGGCAAAAAUACAACUGUAGGUAGCAGUUGAAGCCACAGGAUACAGUAUGUGAUAGGAUCAAAUAGAAGAAAUAAUAACAAAAAUAAUGAUCAGUGAGCCUUUAUGACAGUGGUUCCCAAACUUAUUUACUGCCCCUUGUCCAGAAAAAAUAUGACUCAGUGCCCCCUGGAAAGGGGGCGUGGCUUAGAGGGGUGGGUGUGGCUCCUGCUCAAGAGGGCGGGGCUGAGCCUCUCCCCUAGUCCAAGAUGCAGGGCUGCGAGCGGAGGUGGGCGGGACCAGGACCGGGAUGGGUGGAGUUACGAGCUCUGAGGUAGGGCUGAGCUUCUAUCCCUGUCCUGCGGCGCCUACCAGGACACAGGGGGCGGGGCUAGAGGAGGGGGCGGGGCCUCUUCCCAAGUGUCUGAUGGGGCUGAACCUCUAUACCCCCCGCCCCCACCCCUAGCCCAGCCCUUUAGUCCUAAAAGGCUGUAAAGAAGUGUGUGAUUUUAUUUUGUUUAUAGAUGACAUGUUUAUUUGAUUUUGUUUAAACAGUCAGGUUUGGUUAAGUUUAAAAUGGUAAGUUGGAGCUGAUAAUACCAGAAGGUAACCAGCUCAGCAUUAUGAGACAGGUUGUCAUGCCAACGGGGGCGGAGCCAACCGCCGUUUGAAGAAGGAAAAGAGGGAAUGUUUUAAAACCCAGUUUUAGUCUGUGAUUUCUAGUCACAGGGAACGGACUGGUUCCAAGUUUAAGGAAACCAGGGAAGUUUGGAUCUUAGGCUGUGAUUUUUAGUCACAGGGAACAGACUGGUUCCAAGUUUAAGGAAACCAGGGAGGCAGACCUCUAGUAGGCCAGACUAAGCAAGUUGGGUGACUUGUUUAGGGUCAUUUGUAGAGGCUGUGGAUUAGGGGAAAUUAAUCCCAAUGGAUCCAAGUGAUCAGGUUUUAGUUUAGUCUUGAGUAACGGAAGUAUUUUGAAAGUUGGAACACCUCACAUCUAUUUGUAACUGUUAUUCUAAGUGCCUUUAAGAAGUUAUAGAAACCACUAAGCUCUGUACAUGCAAUAAACUUGUUUUGAUUUUUAAAUCCAUCUAAGUCUCUGUCACAAUCAUAUCCUAAGCUAAGCAACAUCACCAUCUGAAGUGAAAUAAAUAAAGAAAGCAUAAAAAGAAUAAGUGCCAUCUGCCUGACAUCUCCUCCAUUUGGUGGCAGCGAAGAUAAUUAAAUACAUAAUAAUAUAAUUAAAAUCAUCAUCAUCCAGACAUCUUUAAAAUUGGUGGUAACUGUGUGGUGGGAUUAAAAGCAUUCCUCACUGCCUCACACCAUUACAAAGGCCUCUCAGGAGAAAUAUAGAGGCUCAGCCCUGUCUCAGGCUCUUGGAAGGAGGCCCCUCCUUCUUCCCUAGCUCCAUCCUCUAUGUCCCAACAAGUGCCUCAGGAGAGGUAUAGAUCCUCAGCCCUGUCUCGGGCUCUUGGGAAGAGGCCCCGCCCCCUAGCCCUGCCCUUUAGUCCUAAAAGGCUUCUCAGGAGAAAUAUAGAGGCUCAGCCCUGUCUCAGGCUCUUGGAAGGAGGCCCUGCCCCCUUCCCUAGCUCUGCCCUCUAUGUCCCAACAAGCUCCUGAGGAGAGGUAUGUUGUAUGUUGUAUGGCCAUGUUCUAGAAGUAUUCUCUCCUGACGUUUCGCCCACAUCUAUGGCAGGCAUCCUCAGAAACCUCUGAUGUCUCAGAGUGCUCAAUGAUUGCAGCUGAACUAUACAUCCCAGUACCUACAACUCUUAGAAAUUAUGGUGAAUUCGCCUCAAACCUCUCUAGUAUGUUCAGUUGCUGAUCAAUUUCUCUGUUUGUUGUGUGCUAUAGAAAAAAAUAAGAAAGGGUUAUGGGAGAGGCAGUGGGCGGGGUUAUGCAAAUUCCACACUGAUUGAGAGAGUCAGAAACACUGGGAUGUCUGUGGUGGAGGAAAACAAAAAAUCUAGGAGAUCUUCUAGAAUCCCAUUUCGUUCAUGCAGAGAGUGAUAUCAUUUCCCAAAAUAACACUGUUGCGUUCAGAAGCAGAAACACCAGAAGGGCAAUUUUCUUUUAAUGGUGGAGGUUUUUUUUUUUUUUUUUAUCCCUCCCCUGAACAACAGAUCAGAUCGCAAACAUGCCAUCUCUCUUCAUAGUCUAGGAUAUCUAAUGCGAAAGGACAUCUAAAGAUGCCUUUUGGCCUUUAGCCAAAGUUAAGAUAGCUUGCCUUUAAGGAUGGAACUAAGCUUAGGCUUCUAUAUAUUAUUACUUGUGAGUAAGUCCGUUGGGGCGUAAUUCUGAGAAGGCACAUCGAGGAUUGCAUUAUUCUAUUGAGAGACAAAAAACUACAGCAUCCGUGAUGCUCAAUAAGAAGCAAUGUUGAUUUUUGAAAAAGUCAUCACAUACAAUAGUGGCUUGACUAUCAGAGUACUUUGAAGAUAUUGUGAUUUUAUAUCGUAGGAUAACAUUUAAUACAUCUUUUGCCUUGCCUUUGCCUUUAUUAACAUUGGUUUAAACUUUAAACGGGGGCAGGGCCUCUUCCCAAGUGCCUGACAGGGCUGAGCCUCUAUACCCUGCCUCUGUGUUUUAACAAGAGGCUCAGCCCUGUCUCGCGCGCUUGGGAAGAGGCCCCGCCCCCACUCUAGCCCCACCCUUUAGUCCUAAAAGGCCUCUCAGGAGAGGUAUAGAGGCUAAGCCCUGUCUCGGGCUCUUGGAAAGAGGCCCCGCCCCCUUCCCUAGCCCCACCCUUUAGUCCUAAAAGGCCUCUCAGGAGAGGUAUAGAGGCUCAGCCCUGUCUCGGGCUCUUGGAAAGAGGCCCCGCCCCCUUCCCUAGCCCCACCCUUUAGUCCUAAAAGGCCUCUCAGGAGAGGUAUAGAGGCUCAGCCCUGUCUCGAGCUCUUGGAAGGAGGCCCCGCCCCCUUCCCUAGCCCUGCCCUUUAGUCCUAAAAGGCCUCUCAGGAGAUAUAUAGAGGCUCAGCCCUGUCUCGGGCUCUUGGGAAGAGGCCCCGCCCCCACACCUAGCCCCGCCCUUUAGUCCUAAAAGGCCUCUCAGGAGAGGUAUAGAGGCUAAGCCCUGUCUCGGGCUCUUGGAAAGAGGCCCCGCCCCCUUCCCUAGCCCCACCCUUUAGUCCUAAAAGGCCUCUCAGGAGAGGUAUAGAGGCUCAGCCCUGUCUCGGGCUCUUGGAAAGAGGCCCCGCCCCCUUCCCUAGCCCCACCCUUUAGUCCUAAAAGGCCUCUCAGGAGAGGUAUAGAGGCUAAGCCCUGUCUCGAGCUCUUGGAAAGAAGCCCCGCCCCCUUCCCUAGCCCCGCCCUUUAGUCCUAAAAGACCUCUCAGGAGAUAUAUAGAGGCUCAGCCCUGUCUCGGGCUCUUGGAAAGAGGGCCCGCCCCCUUCCCUAGCCCCACCCUUUAGUCCUAAAAGACCUCUCAGGAGAGAUAUAGAGGCUCAGCCCUGUCUCGGGCUCUUGGAAGGAGGCCCCGCCCCCUUACCUAGCCCCACCCUUUAGUCCUAAAAGACCUCUCAGGAGAGGUAUAGAGGCUCAGCCCUGUCUCGGGCUCUUGGAAGGAGGCCCCGCCCCUUCCUCUAGCCCCGCCCCCUGUGUCCUGGGUGGGCUGCAGGACAGGGAUAGAAGCUCAGCCCUGCCUCAGAGCUCGUAACUCCGCCCAUCCCAGUCCUGGCCGCCCAUAG